rnacentral:tRNA from 1 species
GGGAUUGUGGCUCAGAGGUAGAGUGCUUGCCUAGCAUGCAUGAGGCCCUGAGUUCAAUCCUCAGCACCA